UACAGAGGGGGCAAGCGUUAUUCGGAAUUAUUGGGCGUAAAGGGCGCGUAGGCGGCCUUUCAAGUGACGGGUGAAAUCCCCCGGCUUAACCGGGGAACUGCCUGUCAGACUGGGAGGCUUGAGACCGGGAGAGGUGAGUGGAAUUCCCAGUGUAGCGGUGAAAUGCGUAGAUAUUGGGAGGAACACCAGUGGCGAAGGCGGCUCACUGGACCGGUUCUGACGCUGAGGCGCGAAAGCGUGGGGAGCAAACGGG
rnacentral:rRNA from 1 species